AAUAUUGCACAAUGGAGGAAACUCUGAUGCAGCGACGCCGCGUGAACGAUGAAGGCCUUCGGGUCGUAAAGUUCUGUCCUAGGGGACGAUAAUGACGGUACCCUAGGAGGAAGCCCCGGCUAACUACGUGCCAGCAGCCGCGGUAAUACGUAGGGGGCAAGCGUUGUCCGGAUUUAUUGGGCGUAAAGGGUGCGCAGGCGGCCUUUUAAGUCAGGUGUGAAAGCCAUAGGCUCAACCUAUGUUAGCACUUGAAACUGGAAGGCUUGAGUUAAGGAGAGGAAAGUGGAAUUCCUAGUGUAGCGGUGAAAUGCGUAGAUAUUAGGAGGAAUACCAGUGGCGAAGGCGACUUUCUGGACUUAUACUGACGCUGAGGCACGAAAGCGUGGGGAGCGAACAG
rnacentral:rRNA from 1 species